rnacentral:rRNA from 1 species
AUUGAACGCUGGCGGAAUGCUUUACACAUGCAAGUCGAACGGCAGCACGGACUUCGGUCUGGUGGCGAGUGGCGAACGGGUGAGUAAUGUAUCGGAACGUGCCCAGUCGUGGGGGAUAACGUAGUGAAAAUUACGCUAAUACCGCAUACGAUCUAUGGAUGAAAGCGGGGGAUCGCAAGACCUCGCGCGAUUGGAGCGGCCGAUAUCAGAUUAGGUAGUUGGUGGGGUAAAGGCCCACCAAGCCAACGAUCUGUAGCUGGUCUGAGAGGACGACCAGCCACACUGGAACUGAGACACGGUCCAGACUCCUACGGGAGGCAGCAGUGGGGAAUUUUGGACAAUGGGCGAAAGCCUGAUCCAGCCAUUCCGCGUGCAGGAUGAAGGCCCUCGGGUUGUAAACUGCUUUUGUACGGAACGAAACGGCCCUUUCUAAUACAGGGGGCUAAUGACGGUACCGUAAGAAUAAGCACCGGCUAACUACGUGCCAGCAGCCGCCGUAA